rnacentral:rRNA from 1 species
UACAGAGGUCUCAAGCGUUGCUCGGAAUCAUUGGGCGUAAAGCGCACGUAGGCGGUCUGUUAUGUCGGAUGUGAAAGCCCUUGGCUCAACUGAGGAAGUGCAUCCGAAACUGGCAGGCUAGAGUACGAAAGAGGAUCGCGGAAUUCCCGGUGUAGAGGUGAAAUUCGUAGAUAUCGGGAGGAACACCGGUGGCGAAGGCGGCCCUCUGGACCGGUACUGACGCUGAUGCGCGAAAGCGUGGGGAGCAAACGGG